GGGCCUGUAGCUCAGUUGGGAGAGCGCCUGCUCCGCAAGUAGGAGGUCGUCAGUUCGAAUCUGAUCAGGUCCA
rnacentral:tRNA from 1 species